GGCGGAGGAGGUCGUGGGCGAGCAGGGAGGAGUAGGUGGGUUGGGGAUUGGGAUCCUCGAGGGCGGCGGCGGCAGAUGAAGCGGGUCGGGCGGCCUGGCGGCGGUAGGUGAAGGGACCGCAGCAGCGGUAGCAGGAGUGGACGUGUCCGUCCUCCUCGCGGGGGUGGUAGAAGAGAGGAGGAGGGGAGUAGUGCUCGGUCCUGUUCCUCCCGGUGGCACCGGUUCGUCCAGUCCGCUGCGCAGGUCUAGUGGUUCCUUGGCGGGCAGCCGGUACCGCGCUGGCUCGUCUCGUCCAUGAUAGGAACAGCACCUAACGACGGAGUGCACAUGCGUCUCGUGUAGAACCCACAAAUCCAACGUUCCAGUCAAAUCAGAUGACGUUGGUUCUACUUACACGUAGUUAGACCUUAACUCUAAGAGUUAUAAGUCUGUAACAGCUAUUGUUCCAUGGACUGAUAUAUAUCACUUCAGAUGAAGAAAACAGGAAGGACAACAAUUAUCAAAAAGGUAGCGAUAAUCGGUUGGUCGUCCUAAACUUAGUAAUAUACUCACGUUCCUCUACAGUACACAGUACAUUUAACAUUCAAUACAUCCCGAACCAAUAACGUCAAAAAUCAACCCAACACUCGUGGAGUAGAUGAGUUGUGGUCGAUAUGAACUACACAUGAACGUAUAUACAUAUACGGCGUAUAGUACUAUGAUUACUGUGAAAGGACGAUGGAGUCAUGAAGUCAUACCAUGUUGAAACGACUUUUCAUUAUUCCAUUUAAUCAGUAAUAAAACAAACUGGUGCACCUCCCGCGCGACGGCCGAGGGCCCGGGAUCUUUAACGUCAAAGAAAAAGAAGAAGGUAGAAAGUAAAAGAAAGGAAAAAGAAGUGGGCUAACUGUGAUUAAACAAACAUACGAAAGAAUAAACAAAACGUUCAUGUAUAGUACCACAACUAACGGCUGAGCGGAAAAUGGACCGUCACCUACGUCUAAAGAACCCACAAAUCUAGACAUCAAGAAGGGCAGCGACCAGACAUAGAUAAUGGUGUGAGUAGCUAUACACCGUCUUAAGUUCAGAAGCAGGUGCAGGUUGCUGGACGUCCAAUACCCAGGGUGAUAGUCCGUAACAUCAGACUUUUGCCGGGAUACGAGGAUAGCAAAAUCACUCUUAUCACGGUCACUAAGUUUUCCAUUACAGUGGAGGUAACUUUUACUUCACACUAAAUCAUCGUAAUCCGAACGUCAAAUUCUCUAGAACGGUAGGUAAAAAGGAUCUAAAACCCCUACACAUUUCACAUUUUAAUAUCUAGCGAAUCUGAAACCCACCUCGACUUCUUCAAUAGAUUUGAAAUAGAAUUUAAACAUGAAUGACCGGUAACUACAACAGUACGUAAGGAUUAUCGUAGGUACUUACCAAUUACGUACGUGUUAUGAUAAGGAGAUAUAAGAAUUUGAAAAUAAAUAAAUCAGUAAAUGGGACGAUGAAGUAUUAAAAGUAACAAGUGGAAAGAGAGAAAACCACGAAAAAUGUUUUGAAUCUCGACGCGAAGUACAUAAAUCUCUGUAAUAGAAGUAACGUAUUCGUCAAGGAAGUAAUGUUUAGGAUCUUGACUUUGGAAAGUGAAACUUCCGUCCUCUGAUUAUGCUUGGCACUCACAAAGUAUCUCUUUAUACAAGUAUACUUCGUUUUCUUUCAGUACCUCAUGGUACGUUAAUGUAGUACUAAUUAAUAAUCGGAUAACACUAUGAGUUUUGGACGAUUUCUGUUAUAAAUACUGAUUUACAAACUGUACUAGAGUACAGACUAAACGAUUACCACCAGUGUUCUAGAGUUAAGACUGUCGUCUUCUUUCUUUACUACGUACAAUGAAAGUAACAACAGGAGCGUCAAUUAAUGUACUAGAGUCCAGAGAGAGAGGUUCAACUAAAAAGAGGUACAGUCAUUAGUAGAAGAGGGGAUUAAGUCUAAGUAAAAAAACAUCAACGAGAAUCUCUUGUAUAGUGAAACAACGACGUGUAUACACUGCGAAAAUUCGUUUUACGUUCUACAAACUCCUUUACCGUUAUUCACAUACAAACAGCUCCACGAGAGAAGAAUAAAUAAACUGUACUAUUUCGUACCUGGAAGAACAAGUCCACAAUCUAAAGAGUUAGGUAUGAAGGUAUGUUUAUAGUCAAGAACUGACCAAUAAGUCAUUGGAACGUGUACAAGUAAAAGAGAGAUAUAGUGGUCAUAAUUUCAAGUAUGUAUUAUGGAAUAUAAUAAACGAAAUCUUGUAACGUUUAGUUCCAUUCGCCACGUAAACCCUUUAAGUAUAAGAUAAGUUUUCGUGAAGUAGCUAUGGCAGUUUACGAAGUGUCAUCUUAUACGAUGAAGUAAAAAAUCCACAGGAUUCCAAAGUAUUAAACAACAUAAUAGAUUUCGUUGUACAAAAUAGUAAAAUCAAUCGUAACGUGGUUAUUUUUUGGUGUUUAAUAUGUGUAAGAGUGGGAAACAUUUCUAGCCUAUAUGGGUUGGAAUAGACUAGAAUUAUUUUCCCUAAUAUUUGGUCAGUCUAGUAUAUGGAUACGGUAGUAGGAGCCUAUCAUAUAUAACUUUAUGUCAGUAAGCGCUGUUGUAUUAGAUGACGUCAUUGGGUUUCCUAUUUUAGGUAGAUCUUCUGCUUGUGGUUCCUUUCUUUUUCCAUCUGGACACAGCUUCCUCAGACCGCGGACGGCACCACCGCGCAUGACUCCAACCCCUUUUCGUGCUCUCGUUUGGGAUCUGUCUAGGGAUUUGUUGUUGUUUCGAUACCUACUCGUCUACAUUUAGUGUUUGUUUUUCCGUUUGAUCUUACAGCUGCUAAACGGGAAACUUCGGGAAAAUUUGUUUCGGGACCUAAUCUUCUACAUAUACUAGACCGAUCAAAUAUUAGGGAAAACAACACGACAAUUGAUCGAUGACAUUCUACUAUAGGAAAGAACACGAAAGUCUUCUAGGUAUACCGAACCAUCCUUUUUGUAACCGGAAGAUACGAAAGAAUAACACAUAACUACCUCGUUGAUAACAAUGUCUAAGACUCCAGGGAUACAUAUACCUAGCUAACCAUUGACUGGACAUCUACCGAACUAUUGUGCGUACACACAAUGAAUGGGUUGAUAGUGAACACCUGAGUGUAGAACAACGAAGAAAUUUCGUAGCCAGCAGCUACUAAAAGACGACUCGUAUUACCUUCUGUGUUCGUCGGCGAACCUUCCUGUAGACCUUUUUUCCCGCGUCCCACGCGAUAAUCUACGGUGGAGACAGCAAAGUAUUGACGAUGAUCCGGAUAGUUCCAAGCACACUCUGCCGGGAUACUUCAUGUAGCUGUUCCGUCUACUUAAUGCGGUGAAUAAUCAUACGAAUCACGAAUACCGAGGCAUCAACCGAGAGGAAAUAAUACAAGGACAAGAAUAAUGGAGGAGAAUACAGAAGAGCGAAAACAAAACUUGAAAUACAGCUUACCGAUAGAAAGCACAAGUAUACUCGCAUGACUUAAACUAGGAUGGAAUAUUAGACUACCACUAGAACUCGAGGUAACACAAAAUAAAAAUAGUAUUAAUUUACAAAGAAUGAAAUAAUAAUAGGACAUAUUCACGUUUACGAUAUGUACCUAAGGUUGACUGUACAACAAUGUACGAAGCCGUUUUGCGACCCUGGCCGUAGGAGCGCGGUUCCGCGCUAAGGCUAGAUCAUAUUAGAUACCUGUGGAUUUUCGGUUUCGAACCCCUACGGGGCCUUCCGUAGGGGAAAAAGCAGAUGAAGAUAGCCAUUGAAAUGAACCUCAAUAUAAAAAUAAGUGG
rnacentral:rRNA from 1 species